AAGUCGUAACAAGGUUUCCGUAGGUGAACCUGCGGAAGGAUCAUUAUUGAAUGAACUUGACUCAGUUGUAGCUGGUCCUCUCGGGGGCAUGUGCUCGCUGUGUCAUCUUUAUCUAUCCACCUGUGCACCUUUUGUAGACUUGGGACUAGUGAACGGGAGAGCUUGCUCUCCUAGAAGCUACACCAGGCCUAUGUUUUCAUAUACCCCAAAGAAUGUAACAGAAUGUAUUGUAUGGCCUUGUGCCUAUAAAUCAUAUACAACUUUCAGCAACGGAUCUCUUGGCUCUC
rnacentral:misc_RNA from 1 species